rnacentral:rRNA from 1 species
UGGUGGAGUGAUUUGUCUGCUUAAUUGCGAUAACGAACGAGACCUUAACCUGCUAAAUAGUAACGCAAACUCUUUGGGUUUAGCGGUCUACUUCUUAGAGGGACUGUCGAUGUUUCAAUCGACGGAAGUUUGAGGCAAUAACA